UACGUAGGCAGCAAGCGUUGUUCGGAGUUACUGGGCGUAAAGGGUGUGUAGGCGGUUGGAUAAGUGUGGUGUGAAAUCUCCCGGCUCAACCGGGAGGGUGCGCCGAAAACUGGGAGACUAGAGUGCGGGAUGGGAGAGUAGAAUUCCUGGUGUAGCGGUGAAAUGCGUAGAUAUCAGGAGGAAUACCGGUGGUGUAGACGGCUCUCUGGACCGCCACUGACGCUGAGACACGAAAGCGUGGGUAGCAAACAGG
rnacentral:rRNA from 1 species